CAGUUUUAUACUAGCUAGCUUUAGGUGUGAGUGAGGCUAGAAAGGGGCUCAUUACAUGUAAAAAAUAGUGAUAUACUAGCUAACAUACCCUUUCUUCGUUUUCUUGAAAAUGCCCUUCCAUCCAUUACGUCCAACAAGCCAAUAUGGCCAUCAACGCAAUUUUCAUUUCAAGCGCUAUGUAUGUGUCACGUGAUAUUAGUAAGAGUGACCGUGGCUAAAGCCGUAUGCCGACCUGAUCUCAACUGGAAACGGCAUGGUCUCAAUGAACCAAAUUUUCACGAAAGAAAUGACCAUAAAAAAUAUUUGGGUAAGUGGGUCAAAAAUCAGACGUUUUGAAAUUUGAUGUACUAGGAGAAAACGCGGAAAUUCGAUACGCUCUAAUAUAUUUAUGGGAACGAGGAAAAUAGCUUCGCUGCGCUCGGCUCGCUGGCGCUCCCCUUCACUACGCUCCGCAAUCAAUAUAGAAAGUGUUGCGGAGAGGUUGCCAAGGCAAAGGCAUUAAGCACGGCAAGGAAAGGGCAAAGGCAGUCAAGGAAAUAGGAAGAGGAAUCAGGAAGGCAGGGGUAGGCAAGGCAUGGGAGCCACAGGCAAGGACAUAGUAGGCAGGCACCAGAAAAGGCAUAGGAAGGGUAGGCAAAGAAAGGCACAGUCAGUGCUGGCAAGGCAAUGGAACGGCAAGGCAGGGGUGCAUGACUUUAGUAGAAAAUCUCCACCUUACAACUCAAAGAUUGCGUAUACUCAAUAUGUCUAAGUUAAGUAUCAUAUUAGUCCAGGAGUAUAGAAAAUAUUAAGGUGCAAAUGUUUCAAAUUCAAUAUCUCAAAAAAAAGUCUCAAAUUUAUCUCAGGUCAAUACACAGUGAAUCAUAGCAGAAUUAUGUGCCAUUACAAGUAUUUAAACAAUCGGUCAUAACGACAUAUCAUUUUUUGAUAAAUCUGAGAUUAACUUGGUUCCAAUGACAACAACAUUAAAAAGUCAAGAUAUAGAAAUAAUCAGAAGUCCUACUCAAAGAUUACCUAUUAUAUGAAAACCUGGUUGUUGUAGGUGCAAGAUAAUUAUGUUUUUCCUAGCCCUGUCCAGGAUUUGAACCUGAAUCUCUCAUUAGCAUGAGUGUCAUAGCCAUUAGACCAGCAGGGCAUAAACAUAAAUAUAUAUAUAUACAAAACUUUACAGGUGAGUAUUAUAUACACUUAGGAAUUUACGCUGGUUAAGCCACAAGUAACUGUGUUACCUGGCGUUAAACGCUUGAUGGAACAAUUAAUACAAAUUUUAAACUGUACCACACAUUCAGGUGGCUCGCUUUAGUACAGGUGUGCAGUAUAUCAUAAAUCGAGUGAAACACACAACAUUAAAGGUGUGUCGGGUGUGUAAUUAUAUUUUUCAGAUUAACAAAAUAUAUAUUUCCUUCAACUUUAGCUUGAAUAGAAACACAAUUUACAUAUUGUGCAAUGUCAUAGCGAAAACUGUUUCACAAAAUGUUCCCGGUAAAACUUAAAAUAUAUAUGUACUUUAAUCUGUGGUGCGCCAUUAGUAUAGGUAAACAAACCCUUUGAAAAUAACUUUAGCACAACUUCUGUUAAAUAGAAACACAGGUAAUAGCUUGUCGUUAACACUAGGCUGAGUGAUUAGUACAAAUAUACUGUGGCGCACAUCCGAAAAAACUUUGGUUCACAUAAACAGACAGUAAACACCCUGUUGUUAUCCUAGACAGCUAAAACAAUCAUUCAGCAAUUUUAUUUUGCGGAAAAUUUUUUGUAUCAUUUAAAAAUAAAAACACUGUUCAAAACCUGUUUUUAAGCUCCUAAAGAAUCCUGCAAUAUUUUAUGGGAAAAGUUUCAAAAAUUAAUCAUAAAAUCGGACAGCCGUAAUACAUUUUUAAAAAAACCUUUACUGCAACUUCGGUUUAAAAAAACACAGCGGAAACAGCCUGUUGUUAGCCUGUGCAGCUAAAAAUCAAAUAGCAGUAUAUGUUUUGUUUGCAAACAAGUUUUCAUGACAGUAGGAUAAAAAUAUCUUAUUCUAGACUGAACAAAAACAUCAUUAGAGCCACAUGUGUAAAGAUCGGGUCAAGUUACAAAAACAGAAAUUAUUGGGACAUUAUUUGUAUACAUAUCGUGAAAUCAGGUGAAUAUCUAUGCCGAUAAAAAUGUUGAAAAAUGGAGCACUCCAUCGUCGAGCCCCAGUAACCCCCAGGGAAUCCUCAAUGAUGAAAUACCGAUAAUAAUAUAUCUUACAUGUAUUAUAAUUUUUUAUAAAAUGAUUUUAAUACAGAUACAAAAGAGAUUUUUAAAAUUGAAUGUAUGAAAAACAUUAGUAAAGUAAGAUUGAACAUUAUUACGCUGCGGAUAAUAUUAGAGCUAGCGCUAAAAGUGACUACAGCUGGCUAAAUUUAAAUACGGUUGCCAAAAUAAGGGACGGCUAGAUAAUAUUAAGGUACGGCUGGGUCCUAUCAUAUAAGAAACAACUUCAAAUGCUACAAAUUUUCAAUAACUUAAUUUCGUUUUCAUUGUACAUAUUUUAGCACUUGAAGAUGUUUCUUAUACGAUAGGACCUAGCCAUACCUUAAUAUUUUCCAGCCGUACCUUAUUUUAGCUAGCCGUACCUAACCUAAUUUCGUUUUUAUGGAACAAUUUUAGCAUUUGAAGAUGUUCCUUAUACGAUAGGACCUAGCCGUACUUUAAUAUGGUCCAGCCGUACCUUAUUUUAGCUAGCCAUACCUAACCUAAUUUCGUUUUUAUGGAACAUUUGUAGCAUUUGAAGAUGUUUUUUAUACGAUAGGACCCAGCCGUACCUUAAUAUUUUCCAGCCGUACCUUAUUUUAGCUAGCCAUACCUAACCUAAUUUCGUUUUUAUGGAACAAUUUUAGCAUUUGAAGAUGUUUCUUAUACGAUAGGACCUAGCCGUACCUUAAUAUGGUCCAUAUAUGUUGUCUUAUAAUUUUCAUAUUUUUCAUCUCUUUUCCUUACCUAUCCCCUUUAUUUUACUUUACUUGAUAAGUCGCAUUGAAGUUCAGCGCUCGUACUAACCACCUUUUUAUUGCCAGCCGUACUUAAUUUGUCGAUUUGGGAAUCACCUUCCCGCGCUCUCCCCCGUUUGGUUUCUAUAAGAGCAAGAUGUUUCGUUAACAUUUUUCGUAUUUUGCGGGUUCAUUGGCGAUUGAGAAACAGAAAUUCAGUGACACAACAAAUUUACCACUACGAUUAGCUCAGUUUUUUCCAUUAAAAUACAUUACCUCACCUUAAAAAGAAAAGUGUAGUUACGUACGGCUAAGGUACGGCUGUUAGGUACGGCUAGCUUUACUUAAGCAGGAUAGGUAGAAAAUCAGUCUCAAACAAUUUUUCUAUGCUAGCUAUGUUGCUGAUUUUAUGCCAGCAAAAAUUUCAAUUUAUUGCUAGCUACAUGGGUAGUUCUAUCCCAGCUAAGUAGUAAAUUUUCUGCAAGCUUUGUAGCUAGUUUUAUGCUAUAGCCCUUUUUUAGGAGCGGUUUUAGAAUUUCCCCUUUACAGCAGAAGACAGCAAUACAAAUAACCAACGACCAACUAUCAUAUUAUUUAAAAUUAUCUAUCUAAGUAUUUGUUAUCAUCCAACGACCAACGACGACAAUCAAGAAAAAGUAUUUGUUAUCAUCCAAUGGCCAACGACCAACGAUGACAAUCAAGAAAAAGUAAUUGUUAUCAUCCAAUGGCCAACGACCAACGACCAACGAUGACAAUCAGGAAAAAGUAUUUGUUAUCAUCCAACGGCCAAAGACCAACGACUAACGAUGACAAUUAGGAAAAAGUAUUUGUUAUGGUCCAACGACCAACUACCAACGAAACGGUUACGAGCAACAAAUGGUUACGAGCCAACGGCCAACGACCAACGAUAAUUAUAUAAAUCUAUAAAUCCUAGUAGGUGGAUAAAACAUUUUAAAAUUUUAAAAUUUCAUAUUUACUGCAAAUUAAAUACACAAAAAUAAUAGCCUGGUGAUAAAUUGUUUAAAAGGAUUCCCGCAUAGAAUUUAUAGUUAAUAUUUUUUGUUCUUGUCAAAUUCAAGAUUAAAAUAUAUCUGCAAGGACAGUCGAAUUGAUUUCAAAUAUCAGUUUGUACAGAACGAAAAAUUUCAAUUCUUCUAUCCGUCUGUUCUUGAGUGGAAAUGUAUCUAAACUCAAAUGGAAAUCUUUAAAGUUAAAUAAUAAGAACGAAGAAAAAGGCUUUUUUUAAAAUUGCAACAAAAUUUUUGAAAAACUUUUUAUCUUGUAAUUGAAAUUAGGAAUCCAUUGAAAAAAUCCGAAAAUAAAUUAUGAAAA